GGUUAUUGUAAAAAUCAUAUGAAACAAGUCUAAAUCAUCUCAGAUGUGUAUAGAUCUAAGAGGUUCAGAAGAAAGAAAUUAGGGUUUCGAAGAGAACAAUGCAAAGGUGAAGAAACAUGCUUAGAAACCCAUAGAUCAUAGUCGAUGUAGGACGAUCUUACUCAAAAUCACACUGGAAAAACCUGAAACAAACAAGAAAUGGUCCAUAUAUGCGAGCCAACUAACCCUGAUCCCUUGAGGACCCCUGGAGAUGGCAAUACCAACAUGAGAGAGGCCAUUAGAGGCCUGGGAGUGGUGAGGAACACCAUGGAAUGCAGCAGAUGACCGACGGUGUGGGUAGAUUAGGUUAGGUUUGAGAGAAUCUGAGAGAGGAAAGGGAUUACAGGGC
rnacentral:lncRNA from 1 species